ensembl:lncRNA SDHAP1 SDHA pseudogene 1
CGGCGGCGACUACAGACGUGUCGGGGGUCCGGGGCCUGUCGCGGUUGCCAAGCGCUCGGCGCCUGGCGCUGGCGCUGGCCAAGGCGUGGCCAACAGUGUUGCAAACAGGAACCCGAGGUGUUCACUUCACUGUUGAAGGAACGAGAGGGCAUCUGCUAAAGUUUCAGAUUCCAUUUCUGCUCAGUAUCCAGUAGUGGAUCAUGAAUUUGAUGCAGUGGUGGUAGGCGCUGGAGGGGCCGGCUUUGCGAGCUGCAUUUGGCCUUUCCGAGGCAGAGUUUGAUACAGCAUGUGUUACCAAGCUGUUUCCUACCAGGUCACACACUGUUGCAGCGCAGGUAGAAAAUUAUGGCAUGCCGUUUAGCAGAACUGAAGAUGGGAAGAUUUAUCAGCGUGCAUUUGGCGGACACAGCCUCAAGUUUGGAAAGGGCGGGCAGGCCCAUGGGUGCUGCUGUGUGGCUGAUCGGACCGGCCACUCAAUAUUGCACACCUUAUACGGGAGGGUUGGCUUAACACUUCUUGCCCUUUUUUUUUCUUUCUUUUAGUCUCUGCGAUAUGAUACCAGCUGUUUUGUGGAGUAUUUUGCCUUGGAUCUCCUGAUGGAGAAUGGGGAGUGCCGUGGUGUCUUCGCACUGUGCAUACAGGACGGGUCCAUCCAUCGCAUAAGAGCAAAGAAUACUAUUGUUGCCACAGGGCUACUGGCGCAACUACUUGAGCUGCACGUCUGCCCACACCAGCACCAGCGACGGCACGGCCAUGAUCACCAGGGCAGGCCUUCCUUGCCAGGACCUCGAGUUUGUUCAGUUCCACCCCACA